GCAAUCUUAAUAUUAGUCAUCAGCUUUUUGGCCAUUCUUGCCAUUACUGGAGUUGUUGUGACAUGGGUUUCAUUUCGCUAAAAAAACCUCACAGACAUGGCUAACCAAAGGAUCAAGAUGAAAAGUCUGAAUUGGCCGUGUAUUUAAUUUCGUCGAUAUCUUAUUGUUAACUGGAUUUAUUUUUGAAAUUAUAAGAACAAUGCCUAUGAUAAUCAUUUUUCGUUGUACAAUCUUUCAAUUUUUACAGAAUGAAAUAUAUUUUUAUUUUUGGGUGAGUUAGACCACAGUA